rnacentral:rRNA from 1 species
AUUGAACGCUGGCGGCAGGCCUAACACAUGCAAGUCGGACAGUAGCACAGAGGAGCUUGCUCCUCGGGUGACGAGUGGCGGACGGGUGAGUAAUGUCUGGGGAUCUGCCCGAUAGAGGGGGAUAACCACUGGAAACGGUGGCUAAUACCGCAUAACGUCGCAAGACCAAAGAGGGGGACCUUCGGGCCUCUCACUAUCGGAUGAACCCAGAUGGGAUUAGCUAGUAGGCGGGGUAAUGGCCCACCUAGGCGACGAUCCCUAGCUGGUCUGAGAGGAUGAGCAGCCACACUGGAACUGAGACACGGUCCAGACUCCUACGGGAGGCAGCAGUGGGGAAUAUUGCACAAUGGGCGCAAGCCUGAUGCAGCCAUGCCGCGUGUAUGAAGAAGGCCUUCGGGUUGUAAAGUACUUUCAGCGGGGAGGAAGGCGAUGUGGUUAAUAACCUUGUCGAUUGACGUUACCCGCAGAAGAAGCACCGGCUAACUCCGUGCCAGCCGCCGCCGUAA